CAGUCCGGCCCUGUGCUUCUGCUCUUUCACUUUUCCUGUCCAGAGGUCGGUGAGGGGUCGGAUCACUGGCCUGGAAACACUAAAGAGUCAAAAGGAGAGAUAACGAGGCGGCUUAAUGGACGGACGACUGGAGGGUUAAACCCUGAAACCGAAGCCUGGUCACCGAGGAACACGCGGCACUAGACGGCCUUUUAACUCGCCUCGCCUGUUCGUUCCGCCUCCACAGAGGUCGAGAUAUUUACAGCCCUGUACUUGGACAUUCUUCCGCAAAAUUCACAGCCAUGUAAGCCUACCUAGGCAGCACGUGUGGACGAGAAUACCGCAUGACAGCAGCGAGUGUUUAGACUCCUGGUCACUUUGACCUCCAGCCCGCCUCCCGCUUACAUGGGGGCAGAAAAAUCCCCGGCAUGCCACCAAGGUGGGCAGUUUUCUCAGAACACGACCCAGUUGUGGCCGCAUGGCGUCAGCUCUGUAAGCCGGUAAUGCCAAAAAGUCCCGGCCUUGCUUGUUUUGCACACCGAUGACAGGCUAAAAUAUGCCCCGUACACAGACAUAAAUCAGAAAAUCAGGAAAGAAACAUCCUCAAGAGUUGUUUUUUUAAAAAAUGUGUUAUUUGACAGAAACAAUUAUGCAUGUUGAGGACUGAAAAAUUGUUUUAAAAUAAAGAAAUAAAUUAAUAUUAACAAUUAUUUAACAGGUUUUCCCUGUUUUGUUAAAUUACAUACAACUUGCAAUAAAAUUACAAGAAAAAAUCAUACUUUAUAUGUUGACUUAGAAAUUAACAUUCUAAAACUGCUAAUGAUCAGAAAUCUUUUUUAAAAAAAUAGUUGGACCGUAAAUUUGACUAUUUUUACAGUAUUUAAAUUGCAAAAAAAUAAAAUAAAUAAAAAAUAAAUAAAUUGCUGAGAGAAACAUUAUGUAUGUUUAGGACAUAAAUAAGUUGUUGUUUUUUAAAAUUAAGUUAUUUUACAGUUUUUCCAAAUAGCAAACAAUGUCCACAUACAUGUAAAUCAGAAAUUUAUAUUUUUAAAAAUAGUUUGACUGUAAAAUUUCGGUAUUUUUACUGUAUUUAAAUUGCAAAAAAGGUAUUUUUUCUAAAAAUAAAAAAAGAUGUUUGACAGAAACAAACAAGCUUCUAAAUCUAAACAUAUCUUCAGAAUUCUGCUGAAUCACAUCUCAGAUCCUCUACAGUUCAUUUCUGAACUAAACUGCACCCUAAAUGUCACUCAGAUUCAGAUUUAGGAUUUGUUGUUGUUGUUGUUGUUAUUGUUGUUGUCAGUAUUAUGAGUAUCCAGGUCAAAAAGUGGCUGAAUGUACCAGCGCUACCCUCCCACCUGUGAUGUAAGAGUACAGAUAUUAAUAAUCUUGUAACUAUGCAUAGUAAACUGACUGCAUGUCCUAAGCAGCCUGAGCAUGUCAGAGGCACAAAAAAUGAAAUAAAUUAAGAAAAAAAACAGAAAAUACAGCUUAAAUCUGACGGAAAUUUAAAGAAAAAUCAAAUAAAUUUGAGAUAUUAGUGUAAAAAAUGAGGGAAAACUCACUCUCAGCUUUAAACCUUGGCUUUGAAAUCUGAAUUUCUGCAAUAUUUAGAGCUUGACUCUUAAUUAAAAUUACCAUAAUAUCAUGCAUUAGACUAUUAAAAAGCUGCUCUGUGCGCUCCAGCUCCUCUUACCGGCUCUAAAUCAAAGUUUUCAGUAUAAAUCCUCCGCUCUGCUGCGCUCUGUGCGCUCUUGGAUAGAUUCUGUCCACCGACUCCCCUCUGCCCGGUGCUUCCUUCCCCUCCGCUUUUCCCUCCGACGCUGUUACGUAAAAAACCCACCGCGGGCUGGACUUAAAGCGUCCCCUGCCUCCGAUUUGUCGAGCACAAAGUCCGGCGUUAAAGGGUAAACAACUCGUGUUCCAGCCGGGGUCCCCGCUCUUUAUACCGCGCCCCGGUGUUUACGGGGGCGCGCCACCGGAGCCGGCAUCGGGUGUCAUAAUGUCAAAUUUAUUCCAGCAUUUGAAGUCUGGAUGGGACAACUGUCGUCACCAGCAUCCCGGCUAUAAUUACGGAGGGAGAGGGAAAGUGUUUACAUAGCUGCCUCAGCUGCUGCGCCUCUCCGCCAAUCCGCACCUCUGUUGCUACUCCGCUUUCGGAGGCUCGGGCAGAUUUCGUCUUGUGACCAGGCUCCCGCUGCAAAUCAUUUUUCCGAGGGAUGCCAAAUGGGUGUGGGUGACACAGUGAGUAAUAAUGUGUCACCGGCAAUAAUAUCUUUAUUGAAGGUAGUCACGGAAAAGAUCCUGGCAGGUGGAUGCCGGGAAUGUUUGGACACAUUUUACGCAUUUUAGCGUAAUUUCUGUUGAGCAUUUAUCAAUGUCAGACUUAAAUAUUUUUACCACAUGUUCCUGAAAAUGAUGCAAUCGACUCAGAAUUUUACAUUUAAUGCAUCUAAUUGUGAAAAAAUAACGUACGUAUAGAGGGUAGUCACGGAAAAAGAGGUUGACAGGUGGAUGUUUGGAAUGUUUGGACACAUUUUACGCAUUUUUACGCAUAAAUCAUGAGCUUUCCAUGAUUUAAAUCUGCUUGUUUGAGGAUAUGACACAAUCAGCUCAUAAUUCACACACUUUAUACUUCUAUUUGUGGAAAUUAAUAUGCAAAAUAAAUAUUUAUUGAAGGUGGUCAUGGAAAAGAGGCUGGCAGGUGGAUGCCGGGAAUGUUUGGACACAUUUUACGCAUUUUAAGCAUAAUUUCUGUUGAGCGUUAAUCAAUGUCAGACUUAAAUAUUUUAACCACAUGUUCCUGAAAAUGAUGCAAUCGACUCAAAAUUUUACAUUUUAUACCUCUAAUUGUGAAAAAUUAUAUAUGUAUUGAAAGUAGUCACGGAAAAGUGGUUGACAGGUGGAUGCCGGGAAUGUUUGGAUGCAUUUUACGCAUUUUUAUGCAUUUAAAUGUAAUUUCUGUUGAGCAUUUAUCAAUUUCAGGCUUAAAAUUCUUACUAUGUCAGACUUAAAUAUUUUUACCACAUGUUCCUGAAAAUGAUGCAGUCAACUCAGAAUUUUACAUUUUAUACCUCUAAUUGUGCAGAAAUAAUAUCUUUAUUGAAUUUAGUCAUGAAAAAGAGCCUGGCAGGUGGAUGCCGGGAAUGUUUGGACGCAUUUUAUACAUUUUUCAGCCAGAAUAAUAGUGCAGUCAGCAUGUUUUGUUACUUUUUAAGCAUUUUUUUGGCCAUUAAAUGUAAUUUUAGUUGAUUUUUA